rnacentral:lncRNA from 1 species
CCAAUCAUAGUGAAAAACAAUAAAUCUUUAUUAAUUACGCGGUAAAAAUAUCAACUGGGAUGGACCAAGUCACAAUCCCCAAUAGUAAAUGACCUCGUGCUCGUCAUACAACGCGUGUCUCAUCUCAACAUAGCAGUAUGUUGUGCAAUCCGGGGUUUCAAACCCUCAGUGCAUCAUUUAAAAUCAUUACUCACCUCGAACUGGUGAAAUCUAUAGCUUGCGAUGCCUUUGCCCCUCAAAUCGGCCUCCACGCGCGUCGAAUCUAACCAUAAUCAGAGCGAAUACAUCACAAUAUGCUAAGGGAACAAUACCCAAUCGAAAAUACUCGAAAAACGCUAAAAAUCACGAAGUUGGCAAAACCUGAGCCCCGGGCUCACUUCUCGAAAAAUUACGAAAGUCACAUCACCGGAUUCCUCGUCUCGCCACGAGUCCGUACAUAUAAAAUUUACCAAAAUCGGAGUUCAAAUGACCCCUCAAAUCUUCAAAUCUUAUUUUCAAAUCCCUAGGUCCAAAAUCCCCAAUUUACACCUCAAAAACAUGUAAUUUAGUCGGAUUAUUCGAUGAUAAUUCAAUAUUAUGGAGUAGAAAUAAUCACAAGUGUCUUACCUCAAGAUUUCUCAUGAUUUCUUGAUCAAAAAUCGCCCCAAACCGUGUUAUUUUGCAAGAAAAUAGGUAAAAAAACGAGCAGAAACGCAGCAGCUUUUAAUAAGCAAAUCUGGUCGCUAAAGACCCAAAUCUGGUCGCUAAAGGUGCUAAUCUGGUCG